rnacentral:rRNA from 1 species
CCUACGGGCGGCAGCAGUAGGGGAUAUUGCACAAUGGGGGAAACCCUGAUGCAGCGACGCCGCGUGUGGGAAGACGGUCCCGUGGAGUGUAGACCACUGUCCCCAGGGACGAAGAUGACGGUACCUGGGGAGGAAGCUCCGGCUAACUACGUGCCAGCAGCCGCGGUAAUAGGUAGGGAGCGAGGGUUGUCCGGAAUUACUGGGGGAAAAGGGAGCGUAGGCGGGACAGUAAGUUGGGGGUAAAAUCUACCGGCCCAACCGGUAGCCGCACUCAAAACUGCAGUUCUUGAGUGAGGUAGAGGAAGGCGGAAGUCCUGGUGUAGCGGUGAAAUGCGUAGAUAUUAGGAGGAACACCAGUGGCGAAGGCGGCCUGCUGGGCUUUUACUGACGCUGAGGCUCGAAAGUGAGGGUAGCAAACAGGAUUAGAUACCCGAGUAGUC